rnacentral:tRNA from 5 species
GCCCAGGUGCUGGAAUGGAAGACAGGCUGGUCUCAAAAACCAGUGGUGGUAACACACCGUGCGAGUUCGACUCUCGCCCUGGGCA